ensembl:snRNA U6 U6 spliceosomal RNA
UUGCUCACUCACUUUGACAGCACACAUGUUAAAACUGGAAGAAUACCAAGAAGAUCAGCAUGGCCCCUGCACAAGAAUGACACACAAAUUCAUGAAGUGUUGCGUGCUUUC